GGUAAUAUCUUUUUAAGUACCUCCCAUUCAGAGCCCUAGUGAAUUCUUCUCCCUCUAUUGUUUCUAAGAUAUAGGCAUUUCCUGGAGCGCAUCUGCCGAUUUUAUACGGCCCUUCCCAGGUAGGAGACCAUUUGCCGAAUUUAGGAUCUUUCGACCCGAUCGGUAGUACCAAUUUCCAUACCAAGUCUCCGGGGGAGAACUGCUUGACUUUGACUUUUUUAUCGUACCAU
rnacentral:lncRNA from 1 species